CAUGCCGUAAACGAUGAGUGCUAAGUGUUAGGGGGUUUCCGCCCCUUAGUGCUGCAGCUAACGCAUUAAGCACUCCGCCUGGGGAGUACGCUCGCAAGAGUGAAACUUAAAGGAAUUGACGGGGGCCCGCACAAGCAGUGGAGCAUGUGGUUUAAUUCGACGCUACGCGAAGAACCUUACCAGGACUUGACAUGGAAUUUAAAACUCUAGAGAUAGAGCCAUAACAAGUUCACACAGGUGG
rnacentral:rRNA from 1 species